rnacentral:tRNA from 1 species
CUGUAGACCGAUGGAAGGGAUGUAGCGCAGCUUGGUAGCACAUUUGUUUUGGGUACAAAGUGUCACGGGUUCAAAUCCUGUCAUCCCUACCUAUUACUGCUCCUUUGAGCAGUAACGAGGGAUUUUUUGAGAUCAACUCACAUUGGACAUAUCAUAUAGAAUCUUUCAUUCUUAUGAUACUAUAUAGUAUGCAUACAAGAUGUAUUGGGACGAAUCCUUUUUCUUUUAUGAUAAGAAAACGCUCUUAGUUCACUUCGGUAGAACGCGGGUCUCCAAAACCCGAUGUCGUAGGUUCAAAUCCUACAGAGCGUAAUUCGGAUCUUCUUCGAUCGAAUUCGACUG